rnacentral:rRNA from 1 species
AGGGGGAUAACUACUGGAAACGGUAGCUAAUACCGCAUAACGUCGCAAGACCAAAGAGGGGGACCUUAGGGCCUCUUGCCAUCGGAUGUGCCCAGAUGGGAUUAGCUAGUAGGUGGGGUAACGGCUCACCUAGGCGACGAUCCCUAGCUGGUCUGAGAGGAUGACCAGCCACACUGGAACUGAGACACGGUCCAGACUCCUACGGGAGGCAGCAGUGGGGAAUAUUGCACAAUGGGCGCAAGCCUGAUGCAGCCAUGCCGCGUGUAUGAAGAAGGCCUUCGGGUUGUAAAGUACUUUCAGCGGGGAGGAAGGGAGUAAAGUUAAUACCUUUGCUCAUUGACGUUACCCGCAGAAGAAGCACCGGCUAACUCCGUGCCAGCAGCCGCGGUAAUACGGAGGGUGCAAGCGUUAAUCGGAAUUACUGGGCGUAAAGCGCACGCAGGCGGUUUGUUAAGUCAGAUGUGAAUCCCCGGGCUCAACCUGGGAACUGCAUCUGAUACUGGCAGGCUUGAGUCUCGUAGAGGGGGGUAGAAUUCCAGGUGUAGCGGUGAAAUGCGUAGAGAUCUGGAGGAAUACCGGUGGCGAAGGCGG